CUUCCUUGCUCUUCUUUUCCUUUUCUGGACUCUUCUUUUCCAUCGACUUCUCUGUCACUAUCUCGCAACCAACUACAAUACCGAUUCACCCUCCAUUUCUCCCGCUUAGCAAAAGAAAAUCAAAGGGGUUCACCUCCUUGGGUUCCGUAAGAUGCUGGAAGCAUCUUUCGUUUCUCUCUUUCUUCUUCUUUUCUUCCACCUCUUCGUUCGCCGAAGCAACUAAAAAUAAAAAACCUACUCGCGGCUUCUUCCUCCCGAUUUCGGAGCUUCUCUCUCUUCCACUCUCUCUCUCUCUCUCCCCCCUCCAUUGAAGCACCUCCAUACACAGAGUUUUCCUGGCUAAGAGGAUAUUUUACGGUUUGGUUCCUUGCUUGGUCAAUCUCAGAUUUACCGACGGUUCCGGCGGUCCUGUUAUUUUUUGGAAAAUCAGGAAUUUGAACAUCAGCUUGCGACUUCGUCGUCGAUUUGAACGCCACCAGCUUCGAUGCAGUCCUUGGAGACACCCCUGCCUCCUCUGCCAUAGUCGAAUUCUUUGCUGACUGGUCAGCUUUUCUAAUUUCUAUGUAAACCAUUGAUUUUAUUUGCGAAAUAAAUGAAACCCCUUAUGUUUUUGCUUAAAGUAUUGAUCUUUGAGUGUUGCUCGGUAGAUAUUAGAUUGAUUGGAGGCUACCCAUUUGAAAAAGAAGUGAGAUCACAUGGAUGAUGGAUCAUAGGCAUAUGGUGGUUUAGUUGCACCCUGCACAGGUGCAGCUCAAGGCUGACCCUAAAUUGUUCCUCCUGAAAUGAUGUUGUGCUUAUUUGUAAAUUUUGCUGCUCAUCUGCAACUCACCUUUUGUCUCUUGAUAUCUUUUACAGGUGCAAAACGCCAUAGAGUAUUUAAACAUCAUCGGGGCCUUGGAUGAAAAUGAGAAUCUGACUGUUUUAGGUGGGGAGAGAUUUAUUAUUCUUUUAAUAUUUCAAUUAUGCAUUGUGAUGCUUACAACUCUUUGUAAUGGUUGUGAGUUUAAAUUUGAAAAUAAUUAGCCUAAUGCAGUUUAAAUCACUUGAUAGUUUAAAUGCAGGUUGUUAUAUAGAGAUUAGGAUUUAGGUUUUCCAGUUCAAUCAAAGCUAAUUAAACCGAAUCAUGAAUUAAUUAAAUGUGGUGUCUUCCUUUCUCCUCUGUUUCUUUUGUUGUUGGGUGAAAGUGAGCAUGGGUUUAUGAUAACCUAUUUAAAAGGAAAGCUGGAGAGAGAGAGGGUAAUAAAGUAGGUGCAUAUAGGGAGUCAAAGGUUAAGGCAUACUGAUGCACAGAUUAGUAUGGUAAAAAUGAAAAAAAAUGAAAAGAAAGUGAACCCAAUAGAAUAUAGAAAAUGAAGUGUUCAUCCAAUGGAAGAACCCAUAUGUGGUGUUUUAUUUUUAGACAAGAUGAGAAGAUGUAAACAGUUGGAGGUCCAUACCAUUUUCCAAGUUCUUUAUUAAUGUGAAUGUUUAUGUUAUUCUGAUUAGGAACUUAAGUGAAUAAAUCACUUUUGAAUUUGUAAACAAAUAAUUGCUUACAAAAUAAUUAACUUUGUUAAACAAAAAUAAUUGCUUACAGUAGAGAAUAACUGUAAACAUUAUUGAAAUAUAUAUUUAAAUAUUUUUAAUUUAUAUAAAUAGAUAGGUUGCUAUUGCAUUGUGUGCCUAAAUCAAAUCACUAACUUGAACCAUGCUCUUUAUUUGGGAACUGUGUAUUUCUUAUUUGAAUUAGUAUGGUUUGUUUUUCAAAUUUGAUUUUGUGUGAUUUCAUUUUGAUAGAUAUUUCAGAAUUUCAGAAAGCAGGUGCGGUUUGAUCAAUUAAGGCCAACCUGAUUUACAGGGGUCUGAUUAGUGGUACACUACUAAUUACCUCACUUUUCUCCCAAAAGUAUGCUGCUUUUUCCAAAAGGAAAAUAUUAGCUUGGUUUGAUCUCUUAUUUGAAUUGUGUAGAUUUGGUUUGAUCUCUUAAUUUGUGUUGUGCAAAUUUUGUAUGAAUUAAUUUGGGUUGGGCAGAGGAAGCAAAUAUUUUUUUAAAUUAAUAAAUUUAGUUUGGUUUAUACAUAUGCUAAUGAAUAUUAUUUACCGAAGCAUGAACAAGUCAAGAAACUGUUUGUUUCAAACUAUUCAUUACAACUUUGCACCAACUGUUUUGGUUAUGCCUAAUAGUUUUAAAACCCGCUGCGCGGGCUCCUUUACUAGUAUGGACUAAAAGCCAACAGGUGAGAAUUAAUGGUAUCAUUUCUUUUGGAAGUUUAUAUAGUCACGUGAUAUGACCUUACACGCCA